rnacentral:rRNA from 1 species
UACAGAGGGUGCAAGCGUUAAUCGGAAUUACUGGGCGUAAAGCGCGCGUAGGCGGCUUUGCAAGUCGGGUGUGAAAUCCCCAGGCUUAACCUGGGAACUGCAUUCGAGACUGCAUUGCUAGAGUAUGGGAGAGGGAAGUGGAAUUUCCGGUGUAGCGGUGAAAUGCGUAGAUAUCGGAAGGAACAUCAGUGGCGAAAGCGACUUCCUGGACCAAUACUGACGCUCAUGUGCGAA